rnacentral:misc_RNA from 1 species
UCCGGUUUGACACCGGCAGUCUCCCUAGAGUGCCCGGCUUUACCCGCUGGUAACUAGGGACAAGGGUUGCGCUCGUUGCGGGACUUAACCCAACAUCUCACGACACGAGCUGACGACAGCCAUGCAGCACCUGUGUUCCAAGCCCCGAAGGGAAGACCACAUCUCUGCGGCCGGUCUUGGACAUGUCAAGAGCUGGUAAGGUUCUGCGCGUUGCGUCGAAUUAAACCACAUGCUCCACCGCUUGUGCGGGCCCCCGUCAAUUCCUUUGAGUUUCAGUCUUGCGACCGUACUCCCCAGGCGGAGUGCUUAAUGUGUUGACUUCGGCACAGCAGGGGUCGAUACCCGCUACACCAAGCACUCAUCGUUUACGGCGUGGACUAC